UACUAUAGCUUGACACUGAACAUUGAGCCUUGAUGUGUAGGAUAGGUGGGAGGCUUUGAAGUGUGGACGCCAGUCUGCAUGGAGCCGACCUUGAAAUACCACCCUUUAAUGUUUGAUGUUCUAACGUGGACCCGUAAUCCGGGUUGCGGACAGUGUCUGGUGGGUAGUUUGACUGGGGCGGUCUCCUCCUAAAGAGUAACGGAGGAGCACGAAGGUUGGCUAAUCCUGGUCGGACAUCAGGAGGUUAGUGCAAUGGCAUAAGCCAGCUUGACUGCGAGCGUGACGGCGCGAGCAGGUGCGAAAGCAGGUCAUAGUGAUCCGGUGGUUCUGAAUGGAAGGGCCAUCGCUCAACGGAUAAAAGGUACUCCGGGGAUAACAGGCUGAUACCGCCCAAGAGUUCAUAUCGACGGCGGUGUUUGGCACCUCGAUGUCGGCUCAUCACAUCCUGGGGCUGAAGUAGGUCCCAAGGGUAUGGCUGUUCGCCAUUUAAAGUGGUACGCGAGCUGGGUUUAGAACGUCGUGAGACAGUUCGGUCCCUAUCUGCCGUGGGCGCUGGAGAACUGAGGGGGGCUGCUCCUAGUACGAGAGGACCGGAGUGGACGCAUCACUGGUGUUCGGGUUGUCAUGCCAAUGGCACUGCCCGGUAGCUAAAUGCGGAAGAGAUAAGUGCUGAAAGCAUCUAAGCACGAAACUUGCCCCGAGAUGAGUUCUCCCUGACUCCUUGAGAGUCCUGAAGGAACGUUGAAGACGACGACGUUGAUAGGCCGGGUGUGUAAGCGCAGCGAUGCGUUGAGCUAACCGGUACUAAUGAACCGUGAGGCUUAACCUU
rnacentral:rRNA from 1 species